ACGGGAAGGCAGCAGUGAGGAAUAUUGGACAAUGGACGAAAGUCUGAUCCAGCCAUGCCGCGUGCAGGAUGACAGCCCUCUGGGUUGUAAACUGCUUUUAUAUGAGAAGAAACCCUCAGAUGCGUUUGAGGCUGACGGUAUCAUAUGAAUAAGGAUCGGCUAACUUCGUGCCAGCAGCCGCGGUAAGACGAAGGAUCCAAGCGUUGUCCGGAUUUACUGGGUUUAAAGGAUGCGUAGGCGGACACUUAAGCCAGUGGUGAAAUCCCAUAGCUCAACUAUGGAACUGCCAUUGGAACUGUGUGUCUUGAAUUCGGUUGAGGUAGAUGGAAUAUAACAUGUAGCGGUGAAAUGCUUAGAUAUGUUAUAGAACACCGAUUGCGAAGGCAGUCUACUAAGCCGACAUUGACGCUGAGGCAUGAAAGCGUGGGGAGCGAACAGGAUUAGAUACCCUGGUAGUCCACGCCCUAAACGUUGAUUACUCGCUGUUAGCGAUACACUGUUAGCGGCUAAGCGAAAGCGUUAAGUAAUCCACCUGGGAAGUACGACCGCAAGGUUGAAACUUAAAUGAAUUGACGG
rnacentral:rRNA from 1 species